ACAACACCACAACUCAUUCAGGGGGCAUGAGCUCCUCGUUUUCAUUUCUCUUGAUUUCUCUUCACUGACCAUGGAGAGCACAGUGAAGUCUCACCGAUCAACUGAAGCAAGACCCUUCAAUUGUGUGCCUGUGAAUUCACACCUAUUUAUGAUUCAGAUGACCUGGUAACACUCGAUUGCAUUCUGAAUGGCUGCUGCAGGCUUCAUGUACCAUUCUACAUUUGGUCAGCUCCUAUGCCUCAGAUCUUAACAGUGCCUCCUCAGAUACAGCACAGCUGCCCCGAUUCCUCUCUCAAGAAUCUGAAAAGAUCUCCAGAAAGAAGGUUCUCCUACCAGCCCGUGCCUCUUCUCUUCCUACUCAGCCAAGAAAUGCUAGUUCUGCCUGCUGGAGCAAAAGUAAACCAACUGAAUAAUGCCUCUUUCACCAACGAAAUUAAAUAAGAUUAAGUUCUUCUUUUUGGAAGCAGUACAGAGUCUCCAACCCAUGAGAAAGGAUGCCACAACCAGGUGGAAUCGUUGCCAUCCAUAAACAACCAGCACAUCCAAACUGAUGUGAGGAAUAGAAUGUCACUGCUGUGUGGAAGCAGGGCUCAGAGUCCCAGCUGCCAGAGCCCUAGCUCCGGUCUUUGCAGAUCCCAUAUGGUGUAAACUGUUUGAGCUUCAGCUGCUGCCCACUGUUCUCACUUUAUGUUUCUCUCUCUGUGUCUAUCAUCUGUGAAUAUUCCACUGUAUGUUCCAA
ensembl:lncRNA